rnacentral:lncRNA from 1 species
UGCACAUGUGUAAAUUAAGAUGAACUUCACUCUAGUGCAUCAGGAAAUAUAUCCAGCCUAAUACGUAUAAUCAAACAACUACUGAAUAAUAAGGAUAGAAAAAAAGAUGAUGAAGGGUCACUCGGCAAAUGAAAUGUGGGAAUAAGAAACUUGUAGGCACCCUACAUGCUAAGUUGACAUAAUUAAAAUUCUCAUUUGCAUCUUUUUCCUUGUCUCUAAUGUUUUCCACAUGAGAAGCUACAACACCCUUCAGGAGACAACGAAGAAUCAUUGUCAUUGGCAUGAUUAUCUACCG